GUGGCCCACCCAGCCUCUGGGGUUGUGAGCAUGGCCUGGGAAGGCGUUCUGUUCUUGAACAAGAAGGGAUGCCUCUGGCUGGUUGACAGCCCCUGACACACCUCGUUUUUGUUCUGCAGGUGUUGGAAAGAGGAUGCAGCCAUCCCCAGCCCUCAGCAGGGAAGGGUGGAAAAUGCUGCACUGUGCACGGAAUUAAGAAAAGAUGCAAAAAUGAAAUUGCAAUAUCAAAUAGUAACCUUCCAGAGUGUAAAAUUCAAGAUAAAUUGACAUGCUGAGGAUUGGUGAGGAUGGGAAGCAACAGGAAUGUAGUCAGUACAACAACUUUGAAAAACUCUUUUGCAAUGUCUGCUAAACCUAAUGUAUGUACACCCUAAGACUCUACAAUUCUCUGAGAUACAUACCUAUGGAAAUGUGUGCAUAAAGGCGCCAAGGCUCAUGCCAAGUGUGUUCUGAGUAGUGCUAUUUUUACUAAGCCAAGACUGGGAGCAAAACAAAUGUCUCCCUACAAUAGAAUGGCGUAAAUUAUGGUAUAUAUUCCAAGGAAUUCUUCAUGUCAAUAAGGAUGAACAAACUGUCAGUUCAUUCCACAAUAUAGCUAAAAACCACUAGGAUGAUAUGGACUAAAAAAGAAGAAAAAAUAUUGUGUGACUAUAUAUGACCUUCCAAAACAGGAAAAACCAAUCUGUGCUGACAGAUGUCAAAAGAGGGCCCAUUCUGGGAGUGUGGGAGUAAUGACAGCAGCUAUGGAGUAAUGGCAAUAUUCCAUGGCCAGAUCCCAGUUCUGCUCACAUGGGUGCAUUCAUUCUGAAAAACUCAUCAAAUGGCAUGCUAAUGGAGGCAGGUAAAUCCCACUUGAAAUUAUGAAGCUUACCAAAACAGCAACAAUAGCAAAAACCUUGAACCAGCGCAUCUGUGUAAAGUUGGAUGAGGUCUGGCAUUCAGGUUUUGCAGGUCGCUUUAUGUCUUUGUAGUUCUGGUGCUGUCUCCAUUCAUAAUUUCCAUGGCUUCUGUGUGUUGACAUGGUUCUAUGCCUUUCUUCUUUGCUGCCCCCUGACUUUCAAUCUGAACUUGAUACAUCGAUCCUGAUCCUCUAGUUGUUUUGCCCUUGGAGCUAACUUCUCAUUCUCAACUUCUUUCAAUAUUUUGCUAACAAUGCCACCCUAUCAGAUCAGUUCUCUCUCUUCUAUAAAUUUUGUUAAUGGCCUUGGUUUAACUUUGUCAGUGAAACUUUCACUCCUUUAUUUAAUUUUUCCUGGUUUUGCCUAAUGGGUUUUUAUGUUCUUGUUUUGAUCAUUUCAUAGAUUAUUUACUUGGUCCCCUUUUGUUCUCUUCCAAACCCAAAUCCUUCUCCUCUCCUUUUCUGUCUACGGGUGUGGGGUGAGGCACAGGAGCCCAGGCUCACUCUUCACUCGGUAGCUCCAGCAGCAGAGUCAGCUGACCCAACAUGCAAUAGGAAAGGGGAAAAAAUUCAAAACUGGGGACUAAAACAAGGCUUCCAGUUGUGCAAAGUAGUUUAACAGAUUACCUUCCUUAUAGAUUUAGCUUAGAGGCCGUCUGACCUGAGUCCAUUUAUGGAACAAUUUGGCCUAGCUUUUAUUUUUUCUUUUCAAAAUAAAUCUUCUUGUCCUCCAUUGGAGACACAGAAGGAACCAGGGAGCUGGCAUUUUUUUUUUUAAAUCCAUACGAAGGUUUUGGCCAGGAAUUUUUCAAACACUGGAAUAAAUUUUUAAUUUGGACUUUGAUAUCCAGACAAGCCCAGCUCAUGUUCUCUUGGGUCUCCUUCCCUAAGACCAGACUUCAAACAGGCACUGCUUGCUGUCUCCGCAGAAGCAGCGGAAGGCACGGGAGCAGCCACGGCAGCAGCAGUCAACAGAAGCCGCUGCACCCUGCCUGGCCCGCCCUGGAAACCAUCACACCCGGCUCCUCGGACCUGCAGCCAAGUGCCUCCGAGGAGCGUGCACGGGCGCGCAGACCGUCAGGGCGGGAAGCUCUGGGGACCUCCCACUUCCAUCUGGGGAACCUGCCUGGAGCAAUCUCAGUAACGUGGCAUCCGAAUGUUGAAGAGAACGGGCAAAUACGCGCUGUGCCAUUUGGCUUUCUUACUUGCUUCUUUUCCUCUCCAUUUCAGACUUUCACUCUCAUAGUCUGGACUGUGGAAGCCAUCGGUGUGCCUCUUCCAGAUGAGGCCCCAGAGAACUCUAAGGUUUAACCCUUGGCAUAACUUCCUGAAGCUUGACUGACAAAACGGAGCCCGGGAAGGAGAGAGCAAGCGAAGGAUUGUCUGUGACAACUACAGAAGCAAGCUCAUUUCCGUUUGGAGACCUGGAUGGGAUGCUACACGGAAUUGAAACUUAAUACCCAGAGUCCCUUAGAGAAGUGGCCGCCCUGGGGCUGUCACCAUCAUUUCCUGUUAAUUGUCGCCUGAAAUAACCGGUUGUGGAAAUGGCACAAGGCCUGGGGCGAAGGAAUGUCGUCUGGGGAGAGUCCAGCCCACUCACAACCCGGAAUGAAAUACAAAUGAUUUAACAGCAGUACUGACAGGGUUCUCAGAAUAAAUCGGUUCCAUUCUCACCACUUCAAAUCACUUAAUGUCACUGCCCUGAGACAAAUUGGGGCAGUUGGCUAUGGGUCACCCAGGCUUUGGGACAGUAUCCCCACACUUACCAAUGAGAGUGAACUGCAAGGCUGACCUAAACUGCCUGUCUUCCUGAAGGCUGAGCCUAGAAGUUAAAGGGGAUGGGAAUCAUUACAAAGUCUUUCUAAGAAUCCUCUACCUUCAGCCUGCAGCAUGGGCUAGGAAAUGGCCCCUUAGAAGCAUGGGUGCUCCCAUGUGCCGCUGAUACUGGGCUAACCUGGUUUAUCUACCAAGUCAUGUGCUAGAACUUCAUUUGUUUGUGAUCCUCCUAAUUCAUGUUGGAACUUAAGUCCCAAAUGUAGUGGUACUGAGGGAAGGGGCCUCGAGGAAGUGUGCAGCCAUAAGGGCUGAUUCCUGGCCCCCACAUAAAAGGGCUUCAGGAAGCAGGUUUGCCCCUUUAACCCUGUGAAGAUUCAACACAACGUACUGUCCUUGAAGCAGACAACAAGCCCUCACCAGGCACCAAACCUGCUGGCACCUUGACCUUGGAAGUCGCAGCUUCCAGAACUGUUUCCUCUUAGCUUCUUGGGAGAGGCCCAGUUCCUCUGUGCCCUGUGAGCUGUGCUUCUCAUUUGAGUCGGUCACUUUGUCCACUUGGCCUCCUCAGCACUGGCCCCUGUCUGUGUAUGGAUUUGCGUGUCUCCUGUAGACUCAGGAUACCAGGGAAGAGGUACCUGGUGUCUCCCACCUUUGUAUCCCAGCCGUCUGGACAACAUGCAUAGGACAAAAGUCUGAGGAAGCAAGAGAUGGAGAAGGAAGGCAGGAGGAAGUCCUGGACUAGUGGCUCUGUGCCCCGACUCUGGCUGCAAGUGGGUAUCCUGCACAGGACCAGAACUUCAGGGAAGCUUUCUGGGAAGUCUACACCAAGAUGCAAGCUCCAAUAUGAG